AAAGGUGUCUUCAGAGUUGGAUAUGUAAAAAUAUAAUUUUGUUGACAAUUCUAUCUAUUUACAGACCCUUUGUUCACAAAAUACUUGUCGGUCUCAGCUGGGUUUUACAAAAUGUAAAACCAUACUGAAUAGUCAAUUGAAAAUAUUCAUGAAUUUAACACCUAUAUUUAAAUGCAUACGUAAUUCAAGAAGUUGUUGUUAAAACAUAGGGUUUUAUGAUGUUUAAAUUCAGUUGAUCUCUUUUAAAGAAGACGAUAAAGAAGAAGAAUAUUUUAUUAGACUCUAAACUUUACAGUUUUUUGGUCUAUAACAAAAAGAAUUUAUCAUAAAGUAAGGUUGUGAAGUGCGAUGUAAUUCUACAUGAAUUGAUGGACGUGAACAAGGACUAUUUGGACAUAUAGUUUCUGAAGUAUAAAUAUAAUUUUGACAGUGUGUGAAGACAAAACAAUGUGUUCUUUCAUUCAGGCUUUGAAAACUAAAGGAAUCUGGAUAGUAAUAAUUUACACGUUCUUAUCACUAUUCUAUGUCGCACAUCAAAUACAUAUUGCCAGAAUUUGCAAAGACGAUUGAAAAAUUAACAGAUUUAAGUAUUUCAUCUAUGAAAGGAGAGGAUUGACUUUUAUCAACAAACGCCACCGGCAAAUUACACAAAUAUUCUUUAUUCAAAUCCUUUAAUGCCAGUAAGAAUAAUGUAUACAAUAGUACUGAAAAAAUACUUAAAAGAGAAAUAAAAAUUGGCAUUUUAGUUCCGUCGUCAACCCGUAAGAUUAAAAAUCCGCUUGUAGAAAAUUGGAAGAGCAAUAUACAUAUAUUAUGUAUGUUGAAAUAGAUAAAGGUGAUUAUUUAGAAACUGUUAAAUAUCAAUUGGAAACAAUGUUUGAUAAAGUUAAAACUGUUGUGACCCGUGGUAGAACAUUUACAAAAACAGUUAAUGCAAUAGCACGAGAAGCUUAUGAAGAUGGCAUGGAUUACUUUGUUCGCAUAAACGAUGACAGUUCCAUGGAAACUCAGAAAUGGACAUGGAAGGGAUAUCAAUUCUGCAAAACUACACUUCUCCAAAUAUAGGUAUUGUUGGACCAACGUGUCAUGAAGGAAACACUGGAAUAUUAACACACGAUAUGGUUCAUCGUUCUCAUUUAGAAAUUUUCGAUUUUUAUUACCCUCCAUAUCUUGACAACUGGUGGGCGGAUGAUUGGAUAACAAAAGUUUAUUCCCCUGAGCGAUCAACCAAACUGUCUUCCUGGGUUGUGAAACAUCAUCUAAUGUCUCAUGGCAGAAGGUAUAAUGUAGACUUUAAGAAACAUAUUUGGCUGAAGGAAACAUUGGCCUUGACAAAGAAAGACUUAGUGAGUAUCUUAACAGCAUGCACAAAUAACAUUUUGUUCCCGUCUCUGUGAUCUUUGAUAUUGACAUUUUUUAUUUGUCAUCGGCAAAUGCCAGUCCAGCGACAUCAUUUUACCGUUUAAAGUUAUUUUCUAUGUUUCUUUUCGUCUUCUAAUGAAGUUUAUAGGCUAAUUACAUUUAUCCCAAUACAAUCUCCGCUUCCUGACGAAUCCUAUUCUAUACCUGUAUAAGCUAUGUGUUAAAAUGUUCAUGCUGUUUAAUAAGAAAGUCUGCGCUUCUUUCAUACUAAAAUUUACAAAUUCGCCAGUGACAAGUUCUAAUGUCAAUAAUACUUCAUUAAACAUAAUUAUAUUCUUCACCAUACAGCUAUUUUGAUAAAAGGAAAUGUCAUUAAAAUUUCUGCCAUA
rnacentral:lncRNA from 1 species